UGGGGAAUAUUGCACAAUGGGGGAAACCCUGAUGCAGCGACGCCGCGUGAACGAAGAAGGUAUUCGUAUCGUAAAGUUCUGUCCUAUGGGAAGAUAAUGACAGUAACAUAGAAGAAAGCUCCGGCUAAAUACGUGCCAGCAGCCGCGGUAAUACGUAUGGAGCGAGCGUUGUCCGGAAUUAUUGGGCGUAAAGGGUACGCAGGCGGUUUAAUAAGUCGAAUGUUAAAGAUCGGGGCUCAACCCCGCAAAGCAUUGGAAACUGAUAAACUUGAGUAGUGGAGAGGAAAGUGGAAUUCCUAGUGUAGUGGUGAAAUACGUAGAUAUUAGGAGGAAUACCAGUAGCGAAGGCGACUUUCUGGACACAAACUGACGCUGAGGUACGAAAGCGUGGGGAGCAAACAGG
rnacentral:rRNA from 1 species